GGGAAUUUUCCGCAAUGGGCGCAAGCCUGACGGAGCAAGACCGCGUGCGGGAUGAAGGUCUGUGGACUGUAAACCGCUUUUGAUAGGGAAGAAGACAGUGACGGUACCUAUCGAAUCAGCCUCGGCUAACUCCGUGCCAGCAGCCGCGGUAAUACGGAGGAGGCAAGCGUUAUCCGGAAUUAUUGGGCGUAAAGCGUCCGUAGGUGGUGAUGCAAGUCUAUUGUCAAAGCGUGAGGCUUAACCUCAUACCGGCAGUGGAAACUGCAUUGCUAGAGUGCGAUAGGGGCAAGGGGAAUUCCCAGUGUAGCGGUGAAAUGCGUAGAUAUUGGGAAGAACAUCGGUGGCGAAAGCGCCUUGCUGGGUCUGCACUGACACUGAGGGACGAAAGCUAGGGGAGCGAAAGGGAUUAGAUACCCCUGUAGUCCUAGCCGUAAACGAUGGAUACUAGGCGUUGUCCGUAUCGACCCGGGCAGUGCCGUAGCUAACGCGUUAAGUAUCCCGCCUGGGA
rnacentral:rRNA from 1 species